GAAUAUGUUGAAGAAAUACUUGAUGAAUUCAGUGCAGCAUCAAAUAUUGAAGAGCUUGUUAAUAAAUCUCUCUUGAAUGUUGAUAAUGGAUACUUGAAUAUGCAUGACCUAUGGGUAGAGAGAUUGUUAGGCAAGAGGAACCAAAUAAUCCUGCAAAACGUAGUAGAUUAUGGUUUCAUCAAGAUGUCAUUGAUGUAUUAUCGGCCAACGAUUCAGUAAGAAUCAAAUCAUCUGUACUUUCUCAUUUACACAUUACGUUGAUAUAGGAGAUUAGGAGUAUAUAUAAAUUCAACCAAACUAAAUUAAUGUAUCUCAAAUAUCUCAUGAGUCAUAACCAUAUUCAAGUCUACAGAUUUUUUUCCGCACUUUUUGAUCUCUGGAAAAUUUUCUUUCACAACUUUUGGUCAUUAGUUUUGAUCAAACUCUUGUAUAUUUUCGCAUUUUUAUUCACGGUCAGAUAUGGACACUUUUCGCAUUUAAUAAAGAGGAUCGUCGACGAAGAAUGGAUUCUCUCCAUUACACGAGGGAAAUAGUAGGAUCUUAGUCAUUGAUUUGUGAGGAAUGAGAAAAGAAAAAGAGGAAAAAAGUGAAUUAAAAGGUAGAGAUUAGGAAAAUUAAGGAAAAUAAAAUUGAGAGAAUCCAUUCUCUGGUUCGACGCAUGAUGUGUUGACAAUAUUUUAUUCACGGUCAGAUAUGGACACUUUUCGCAUUUAAUAAAGAGGAUUUUGCUGUUCAAAAAACUUUUCGCCCGAAAAAUAAAGGAUAAAAGUGGAAGAAAAAAUAAGGGUAAAAGUGGAAGAAAAAAAUAAUAAGCUAAUUGAAAUAACAUCCGAAAAAUAAACUAUAAACUAUAAGUUAGUAAAAUAAGUUAUAAACUCGUAAUAAAAAAAUUGUUAUUAAACAGAUUUUUUAACUUUUUUUGACGACAGAUUUUUUAACUUAUAAACUACUAUAUGAUAGCUUAUUAUUGACUUGCUAAGAGCUUGUUUGGCCACACUUUUUUUCUUCUUAUUUUCUCCUUAAAAGAAAAGAGGGCCAAACAGAAUUUUUGCAAAGUCCUUGACAAAUUAAAAACUUAACCAAAGUAGAAGUUGUUAAAACCAACUUUAAAAUAACUUCUCGGCAUAUUUAUAUGGUGUUCGAUUCCUACCAGCCAACUUUUAUAUAGUUUUACGUUAUUUUUGGUCAUUAUAUUAUUAUUAAACUUAUCUGAACAUGCAUGUCUUACAUUUUUUCUAUAGACACUUUGUUACAUGCCACUCUUUUAAUUUCUAUUUAUUUAUAUAUAUUUAUUUAUUUCUAUCCCACUUGCCACUCUUUUAUUGAUUUCUAUUUAUUUUAUUUUUUGAGUCAAUUAUCUCUAUUUAUUUUAAGAGUUUAAUUUGUAUAUAUCGGUGUAAAACUUUUUUACUCAUGCAUCCAAUUAUGUGUUGCCACAUCAUUUAAUGAAUGUGACAUACCAUGUGUUCUUAAACACUAUACAUGAUGUGUUGGUAUAUUAUUGGACGCUUGUGUAAAAUAAUUUUACACCGACAGUGUAUAUAAAUUAAAUUCUUAUUUUAAACCAUAAACCAUAAUAGAUUAGAACAAAAAUACUUUUUGUCAAAAAAAAUUAAUGAAUUUAGUUUAAUUUCUAUAUAUUAUCAAUAUAAAAUUAUUUUACAUAUGCAUCAAAUGAUGUGUUGCCACAUCAAUAAAUAAAUUUGACACGUCACAUGCAUGUUCAUAAACACAAUUUAUAAUGUGUUAAUAUAUUAUUGGACGCAAUACAUCAAGAUAAAUCAACAAACUCCAUCAAAAUAAUAAAUUAUUUGGUGCAUGUGUAAAAUAAUUUAACAUUGACACUAUAUAUUAAUUAAAUUAUUUUCAUAUAUAGAAUAACAUUUAUUUGAAUAUAUUAAUUUUUGUAAGAAUUUGUUUCGGUUUUAUUUGAAUAUUUAUCAACAAAUACCUUACAACAUUGAAAGGAGUAUUUGAAAUUAAAAAAAAAAAAUUGUCAAACAACUUUAACUUUAUUUUUAAAGCUCUCAAUUUUAAUUUUAAGCUUAGAGUAAUUUUUAUAUCUAAAAAAAGUCGGGCCAAAUACCAUAUAAAUCUACAAAUAUUAAAAAUUGUAUAAAACUAUACAUUUUAAUGAUAAUAUAAAUUGCAUUUUCCUCAACCACACAGCUUAUAUAGAUAAGGUGAGCAGCCAAGUUGCCACCAAUAGUCAAUAGGAACCUCCCAAGAAACUUCAUACUUGCUUCGUUGACGCUGUGUUUUUUUUUUUGUGUGUUCUUGACUACUUGCAAUAUAAUUGCAGUGUGCAUGUGUGUACACGCACAUCCUCCUGUUAACAUUUCUGUUAUCUAUAGUAUACUACACUAUUACUGUCUUGUCUUCUGUGUUCUGUUAUAACAUUCUCAAAAGUGUGGUUGAUCUGUUCACUAUAAAUGUCUAUGGCAAAUUAUGAAGAACAGUCGGAUCGUUUAACCUAUGAUGUUUUCCUCAGUUUUAGAGGAGAAGACACGCGGGAAAAUAUUGUUGGAUAUCUUCUUGAUGCAUUUCAGAAGAGGGGAAUCAAAGUUUUCUAUGAUGAUAAAAGUCUGAAAAUAGGGGAAGAAUUGUCACCUGCAUUUUAUAAAGCCAUAGAAGAAUCUAAUAUCUCUGUUAUUUUUUUAUCUGAGGAUUAUGCAUCUUCUAAGUGGUGCCUUAAUGAACUCGCGAAGAUCAUGCAAUGUACCAAAAGAAACAAGGAACAAAUUGCUUUUCCAAUAUUUUACCAUGUUGAUCCAUCGGAUGUACGAAAUCAAAGAAAGAGCUAUGGAGAAGCCAUGGUUGCUCAUGAGAAGAGGUUUGGAAAAGAGUCAGAAAAAAUAAAAGCAUGGAGAGCAGCAUUGUCUGAAGUGGCAGACUUGAAAGGUCACCACAUCCACACUGGGUAUGCAUCUAACUACAAUUCUGUUAUUAUAUAAUCUUUGUGUUGUGUACAAUUCUGUUAUAUAAAUGUGUAUUUAUUGUCAUUAGAACUUUAGAUGUCCUCUGUUGGAACAAAGAGUACAUUCGAUCCCCGCAACUGUGAUCGGGAGGGGCUGAAAUCACUUGAUGUUAAAACUGACCCCUAAACCAGAUUCAACUGGUGGUAAAAGCCAAAAGAAAAAAGAAAAAAAAAAACAGAGCACGAUAUUGUUUAGUCAAAAAAGAUGAAAGAGCAUAAUGUGUGAAUUGAAAAUAAAAUAUCGAGUCCCACAUCAGGUUCUAGAGUAUACUAGCAUGUGUAACAUACUAACGUGUAUUUUGGAAAAAUAAAUAAAUUAAGUCCACAUCGAUAAGAUUGCGCACUUUAUUUAUUUUAUUGUGAUUUAUUUUCCAUCAAUUUGUAACCGUCAAGUUUAUGAGAAACAACCCUAGUUGAGACAAUAACAUCAGCUGCCGUCGGAUAAAACUGUGGUGGUUCCAAAGUGUCACUUUUUUGGGUAGAGGGAAAUAACCAAUAUAAUAGCAAUGAUUCUAGAAAUUUGGUCAAAUUCCUUAUGACCUUGUUGAAAGCAAGAAAGGGAGUGUGAGUUUAGAAGAAAAUAAAGGUUUGACUUUGCGACCUAUAUGCAAUGCAGGAAUAUUUUGGUAUGUUCUCUGUAUUAGCAUUGGUUCAAUCUUGCUUCAGGGUAAUUAACAUUCAAUUGUGAAUUGUUAAUAAGCCUGAGUUCAAUUUCUUAUUGUUAAUAAACAUGUUAAACGAUAACACUGUUUAUGUGUAUGCAAUUGAUUCUCAUCAAAUGAUGUAAAUGCAUUGAACAAACUAUUGAAUCUUAAUGCCGUUGCUGUUACUGGUUUGGGUGAUUUAUUAUGAAUUCACACUUUAGAAUUUGAUACUAAAUAUGGAUUUUCUUUGUAGAUAUUAAGUUUGAUAUGUCUAUAUUGAAUUUGCUCUAUUGUGUUGUUAGACUUUUAAUUUUAACAAAAAUAUUUGCUGUAUAUGAGCAUGUUUCAUGAGUUGAAAUUUUGAACAAAAGAGAAACGUGAUUAUUACUAAUUUGGUUUGAAAGUAUCCCUAGUUCCUUUGAAAUUAAGAAUGGUCAUAGUACCAUAAUUCCUUUGAUUUAAGAUUGGUCUUAGUACCAUAUUAGAAUGACAUCGUGCCAUUAUAUUGAUUGAUAUUGUAGUAUCAAUAUGGGUAAUAGGUUGAUAAUGUAGUACCAUUCAAGGUGUAUUUCUUGCCCGAUUUCUAGUGCAGUAGCAAAUCGGUAUACAAUUGUUCGUGGUUGAUAGUCUGCUUACACAAUUUUGGACAGUGCCGCGAAACGUUUUAAAAAGAGCGAUCUAGUCUACUACUCAACCCAAUAAUCUCUUUGGUGGUUGAAAAAUUAUUUUUUAACCGUUUUUAAAAUUUGGUAACAACCGUCUCCAUUAAGCUAGAAUUGUUGAUAAAUUUUGAGGUAUCAUCUCCGGUAUAUGAGAGUGGACGGCACAUAAUUAAAUGAUACUACCAUCAACUCUAAAUUACACAAAUUAAGAUAAAACUAAAAGAGAAAUUAUUAGUUAGUUUAUAAUAUUAUUUUUUUGACGGAAGUUAGUUUAUAAAAUUGAUAACUUGAAGAAUUGAAAGAAGAUAUCGUCGUAAUUUUCUAGUUUAGGCCUUCCAUGUUAUUAAAAAAAAGUAAUAAAUAGCUAUGAGUAUAAUAGGAAAAAUAAUAUUAAAUAUGUUUAAUUGAUAUUGUAACGUGAUUUAUAAUUUGGUACAAUUUUUUCCUUAAAACAACUUAUAAUUUGGAACGGAGGUAAUAUUAUUUUAUUCUAUGUGCCACUGUCUAUAAAAUGAAACCCUCAAAUAUCGUAGAGAAUACUAUGUCGUAAAUUUGAGUGCAUCGAGUCUCAUUAUUCUCAACAUAGUAUCAAAAUCGAGUCUAAUUAUAAAAAUAAGUUUUAAAUAUAUUUUUAGUCCCUUAAAAUAUAGCGAAUUUUAAUUUUAGUCCCUAAACAUAAAAACUUCCUCGUCCUAAAUUUUUUAGUUGUAUUGUUAUUUGUUCCUAAUAACUAAUUUUUGUUCAUGUUAUUGUCAAAGGUAUAACUCUUCCAUGUUAAAUAUGUGUUCAUAUUAUGUUUAUUUAUUAUGCCAUGUUCAUAGUAUGUUAAAAAAAUAUAUCAAAAAUAUGUCCAUAUGAAACCAAAAACUAAAGUAGAAAAUUUUGGAAGGAUGAAAAUAUUUCAAAUUUAUUUUUACGAACUAAAAUCAAAAUUCGUUAUAUUUAUAGAAGCAAUGCUUAUUUCAAUUUGCUUUUGUUGAAAUAGUAGUAGCUAUUUUCUAAAUUCUAAUUAUCGAUGACAAAACAUAUUAUUAACCAAUAAUAUAUUUUGUUAUUGAAUUUAUGUUUCUAGAAAGAAAUAAUCCCUGUAAAAAUAAUAAUGUGUUGUAUUUUUACAGGUUCGAAAUCGAUCAUGUUAAAGAGAUUGUCGAAAAGGUCCAUGCUAAGAUACCUCCUAAAUCUUUAUUUGAUGGUGAGAAUCCAGUUGGACUUGAUCAACGCAUAGAAGAAGCGAAGUCACUUCUAGACUUGAAGCCAAAUGACGAUAUUGUAUGCAUGUUGGGCAUAUAUGGACUUGGUGGAAUAGGGAAAACAAGUCUUGCCCAAGCAUUGUAUGACAAGAUUAGGCACCAAUUUAAAGCUGCUUGUUUUCUUGCCAAUGUUAGAGAGAAAUCAAACAAAAUCAAUGGCUUAGAAGAUUUACAGCUGACACUUUUAUCAGAGAUGUUUGAGCAGUCAGAUUCUAAGUUGGGAAGUACAAGUAAAGGAAUCUAUGAAAUUAAACACAAGCUUGGAAGGAAAAAGGUUCUUUUGGUACUUGACGAUGUUGAUGAGAUGAAACAAUUGGAAAAUUUGGCAGGAGGAAGUGAUUGGUUUGGUCCAGGUAGUAGGAUCAUUAUAACUACAAGGGACAAAGGUUUGCUCAUGGGUACUCAUCCAAUAGAAGUUAAGACUUAUGAGAUGAUUGAACUUAAUGAUCAACAUUCUCUUGAGUUGUUUUGUAGAAAUGCCUUUGGACAAAGCAAUCCUAAAAUAGGAUAUGAAGCUGUGUCUUCUCGUGCCGUUGGUUAUGCAAAAGGUCUUCCAUUGGCUUUAAAAGUUAUAGGCUCCAAUUUGGCUACUAGAAAAAGUUUAAAAGCUUGGGAGUCUGCAUUGAAAGAUUAUGCGAGGAUUCCGCGUAAAGGGAUUCAAGAUGUGCUUAAAGUAAGCUAUGAUGUGUUGGAGUCUAAUGCUCAAAGUGUUUUUCUAGAUAUAGCUUGCUUCUUCAAAGGGAAAAGAAUAGAAUAUGUUGAAGAAAUACUAGAUGAAUUCAGUGCAGCAUCAAAUAUUGAAGAGCUUGUUAAUAAAUCUCUCUUGAAUGUUGAUAAUGGAUGCUUGAAUAUGCAUGAUCUAAUACAGGAUAUGGGUAGAGAGAUUGUUAGGCAAGAGGCACCAAAUAAUCCUGCAAAACGUAGUAGAUUAUGGUUUCAUCAAGAUGUCAUUGAUGUAUUAUCGACCAACGAUUCAGUAAGCAUCAAAUCAUCUGUACUUCUCAUUUAUACAUUACGUUGAUGCAAUUCACUUUAUCUGUUUUUAUUUGUUUCAAAGGGGAGUGAUGCAAUUCAAGGGAUAAUGCUUGAACCUCCUGAAUAUACAACAGAAGUAUAUUUGGAUGAUUAUACUUUUGAGAAGAUGAACCGUCUCAGAAUUCUCAUUGUUCAAAAUAUAACUUUUUCGUCAGAGCCUAAACAUCUACCAAAUCAUUUAAGGCUACUUGACUGGAAGGAAUACCCUUCAGAAACUUUCCCACCAAAAUUUUAUCCGAGAAAUAUCAUCAUCUUAAAUUUGCCUUAUAGUCAACUUACAAUGAAUGUGCCAUUUAAGGUUAAAUCAAAACUUCCUUUUAUUUAUUCUUUUCAUUUCAUUUUUACAUAUAACAAUAACUUAGUUUGAUUGACUAUUUUUUAAUUUGUUCUUCUGACAGAAAUUUUCAUAUCUGACUGUCAUGAAUUUCUCACAUAAUCAAUCUAUCACAACAAUGCCUGACGUAUCCAAAGUUGAAUGUUUGAGACAAUUGCAACUUGACCGUUGUGUGAACUUAACUAUGGUUCAUGAAUCCAUUGGAUUUCUCAAACAUCUUGUCCACUUAAGCGCUUCGGGAUGCAGUCAACUUAGAAACUUUCCGCAAAGAAUGUUCUUACCAUCUCUAGAAGUCCUUCGACUUAAUGAUUGUCGUGAACUUAAACACUUUCCAGAUAUAGUGAACAAGAUGGAUAAACCAUUGAAUAUUGAUAUGACCAAUACCUCUAUUGAGAAGCUGCCAAAUUCCGUUGGUAAUCUUAUUGGACUUGUUUCAUUAAACAUGCAAUGGAGCCGUAAACUCGAAUAUCUACCAAGUAGCUUAUUCACGUUACCAAAUGUUGAAGCUUUAUACUUUUUUGGAUGUUAUGAACUUGGUACUUUCAGAAGAUUUCUACCUGAUAGCCCUCCAGAUGCCAAUGAACGUUCAACAUCAAAAAGAAUGCAUUCUGGAAAUAGAAUUAUUCUUUUAAAUAAAGAUAGUGGUUUGUCAGAUGAAGAUGUUGAAGCUUUUAUGUUUAAAGUGAUUUUUAGGUAAGAACUCUUACUACUUGUUUUCCUUUUAUGAGUGGGGUAUAAAUCCUACUUUAUGUUGGAAUCGUUAGAGUUUUUUGUGGAGUCUUGUUGGGUCUCGUUGUCAUGAAGUUAUUGAUGGUGAUGAGUAACAAACUCAUGAUAGAGAGCAAAACAGAGAGAAAAGAAGGAAAAACUUCUUGAUUAUUGUAUUGAAUGAAAGUAAUUAAGUUUGCUUAUAUACAUGAAACUAACUCUAACAAAUUGUAACUAACUUUGCCAGCUAAGCAAGAGUCAAUACUAAACUAUGGUAUCCUCACUAUAGUUACCAUACACCACUAGCUUGUUGUAUAAGCAAUCUCCAAGCAGCUAUAUGUUUAACACCCUCCCUCAAGCUAAACAUGAUAAAUGUCUAACAUGUUUAGCUUGGAUAUAAAAGAUAGAAAAUGAUGUAGGAAGGGGGUUUAUUUAGCAAUUUAAUAUUUUUGCCAGUUUAUUAUUAUUUUUCCCUUUGUUAAUUUCGGCCCAUUGGAGUUUUGUCUUUUCCCUAUUUAAGCUAAACGGUUGUAGACUGACAGUCGGUUUUUUCAUUCAAUAAAAAUAUUUGAGUUUCAUCUUGUUAGAAGUCCCACAUUGGCUAAAGAUAUGGCAUAGAUAGCCUUUUGUUGUUUGUUGUGGAGACCUCCCAUAUUGGGGUCACUUGUUGUUGAUUCCACGUUCCAACUUGUUCAGUUCUGGACGUGAGGGGGUGUGUUAGAAGUCCCACAUUGGCUAGAGAUAUGGCAUAGAUAGCCUUUAUAAGUGUAGUGCAAACCUCAACUUUUAAGCUAGCUUUUGUGGGUGAGUAUAGGCCUCAAAAAUUCUAAUACAUCUCAACCUUCGGUGGACUCCAAAACCCUAUUUUGACAAGUUUGUGCUGGCGGCUUGUUAUUAUCAUUUAGGUUUUUAGCGUUUUGCUAACCUAGUGCUUCCGUUCUGCGUAAGUUAGCAUCAGAGCAGGGUUUUUAGCGUUUUCCCCUGUUCUUUCAUAAAGUGAUCAGAUGGGAGAUCAACCGAUGACGAAAGCAGCGUUUGAUGCUGCCAUAGCGGCUUUAACCGCGGCCAUCACCGCUCUGACAACACAGGUGACAAAGUUAUCCAACAACAACAACGUUAACAACAACAACCGAAUCAAUUUGAACAUGGGAGGAGGUCGUGGAAACAAUCAUAUGAUGGAUGAUUCGAAUUCAGAAGAAGAGGAGGUCGUGACUGAAGAAGGAAACGAUCGUGGCAAUCACCAUGAUUACGGCGUGAAAGCAGAUAUUCCAUUGUUUUAUGGAACGAUGGGAGUAGAGGAAUUUUUAGAUUGGCAAAUUGAUGUUUACAGAUUUUUUUGAUGUCAUGGACGUCCUUGAGCACAAGCAGGUUAAGAUGGUGGCAAUCAGGCUGAAAAGUACCGCCGUUGACUGGUGGGACAAACUCGUCGUUCAAAGGCAUAGAAAAAAUCCCAUUCGAACUUGGUGGAAGAUGAAACAAUUGAUGCUUGAGAGAUUUUUACCUGAAGAUUAUGAACAAAUUCUGUAUAAGAUGUAUAUUGAAUGUGUUCAGGGCAAGCGAUCAGUGACAGAAUAUACCGUUGAAUUUCUGCGUUUUUCAGAACGUAAUGAAAUGGGUGAAGCAAAUCUCCAAGCAGCCCUGUGUCAUGAAGCAAAUCUAGGCAAUAUUUUCUCUGACAAAUAGUAAUUCCAACUUUGGAAUGAGCUACCUCAAUCCCUAGAAAGUAUUUUAAUUGACCAAGAUCUUUAAUUUUAAAUUGUGUGUCUAACAGAUGUCAUCAACAUAUACUAGUAGAGCAGUAAAUUUGUCUCCAUACAUACAUCCUCUUGCAAAUCUCCAUGUAAGAAAGCAUUAUUUACAUCUAACUGAUGUAAAUGCCAAGAGUUUAUAGCAGUUAAUGCAAUAAGGGUUCUCACUAUAAAUGCCAAGAGUUUAUAGCAGUUAAUGCAUCAACAAAUAUUCAUGUUUUAUUCUGUUGUAAAGCUUGAAGUUCAACAUUCAUAGCUUUAACCUAACAUAUUCUUGCAUACUAGCUUGGUGAUAACUGACUGGCUCAUCAUCAAUGGUCAAGGACAAGGCAAACUUGCUAUGAGAAGCAGACAAGUUAGCACAAGAAUGAAAAUGAGAGAUAAGAUAAGAAAUACCUGGAGAUGAUGGCAACACUGAACCUGUAGAGAGAUUGCAAACAUAGUCAAAUAAGUGUGUUGGUCUAUGUGUAGGUCUAGCAGAUCUUCUCAGAUGAUCAUUGUUAGGCAUAGGAUCAGUGUCACCAUGAUCUGUAGUAUGAUCAUUGGUGGCACUAUCAGGGUCAGUAGUAAGUAAUGGUGAAGAUGGAUCGGUGAUAGGGGAAAUGGAUGGGGUGGUAGAUAUAGCUGCUUUGUCUUACCUGUAGUGUCAUGUUGGUGUGCCUCGUUGUUUCUUUGUAGUUUUUUUGUCUUUUGUUUUUUUGGUGGAGUGUACUUCUGGUACCGAUUUACUUUUCUGAUUUUUCUCUUGUAUGUUUCUUAUUUUUAUAUCUAUAUAUAAUAUAUUAGUCAUUAAAAAAAAUAAGAUAUUGAAGCAAUUCUCACAUGUUUUCCAAAAUUAGAAGAAUUGAUUGUAUCAUAUAACAAUUUGGUCUCUCUCCCAGCGUGCAUUAAAGAGUCUAAUCACUUGACAUUUCUUGAUGUUAGUUGGUGUUAUGAGCUUCAAAAAAUUCCUUAAUGCACCAAGUUGAGAAUUCUGGAUGUCAGUUAUUGUCCCCCAUGCACUAUUCGAUUUUUUUCAGAGUUGCCAUGCACUAUUAGAUAUUUUGUCCCCUUUUUCCCUACACACACGUCGGUUUUUGUCCCUUCAGAGAGAUAUUACGGAAAAAAAUUUGGGAGAGGGAUAUUGUUGGAAUUUUAAAGGGGCAUGGGGGACAUUUUGAGAAACAAAUCGCACUAUUCAGAAAAUAGAUGCUUCAACUUUUCUUUGGAGACGUCUGACAUGCUUGUCCUAAAUUAGUUGACGCCUUUAUUUUGUGAAUAUAUGCCUUUAUUUUAGACUUCAAAAAUUUAUCUGUUUGGUAACACAAAUAAGCUAGCUUAUAGCUUAUUAUAUGAGUUUAUAAGCUUGUUUCAAAAAAUUAGAGGUGUUUGGUAACAAGUUUUUUGUACUAGCUUAUAGCUUUUUUUCAGAUGCUAUUUCNNNNNNNNNNUACCAAACACUUUAAUUUCAAUAAGCUAGCUUUUCAGCUAUCAGCUAUAAGCUAGCUUUUCAGCUAUCAGCUAGCUUAUCAGCUAUCAGCUAGCUUAUAGCUUAUUUUUACCAAACAGACCCAAGUGCACUUUCUUCUCUAUUUUCAAAAAAAUAAAUUUUGAUCUCCCAAUUUAAAUUUUUUAGAAUUUUGGUCUCAUUUUAUUUUUGGGUCAUAUUUUAUUGAUGUGACAAUAUUAAUUUAGGAAAAUUCUAUAGUACAUUUGAAAUAUUUUAUAAAAGAAAAAAAAAAUCUAUCAUUAAAAAUAUUAUAAUAACUAAAUAUUAUUUAGUAAAACUGUUAAAAAUAUAAAAUUUGAGAUUUUUUUGAAUUUUUAUUCAUCAUAAUAGUCAAUAUAGAAUUUUUUAUGAAAAAAUGUUAAAAAUAAAAUAAAAUAUUAGUGCGAUGCUUGCUUAUAAACAAUUUUCUUUUUUCUUAUGAACUUAUUAUCUCUAAAAUACAAUAAUCGGCAAAUAUUUUUUGAUAAAUAAAUAUAAUCAUUAAAUUAUUAUUUUAAUGACUUAUUGUACCGGUACAUUCAAAUUUUAAGAUAAAAACGACUAAUUGACAUAAUAACAGAGGUGUAAUCGUAGGUAUAGCAUGAUCGUAGAGAUGAUUUUCUGUCAGCAAAGGUAUUUGAUGUCCGUUUGCCCCAAAAAAUUAGUUUCUUAGUAUUGCUAUAUGUGCAAAUAAAAAGGGUAGCAUUGGAAAAUGUGACGAAUAGAUGUUGUCAUAUGUACUAUUUAUAAGUUUAAUACUAAUACCUUACGAAUCAAACAGACUAUAAGAAUGAGACAUGAAAGUUAAAGCUUGUUUGUGGUUCAAAAUUAGUAUCAGUUUACUUUUAUAAUGUAUUUCAUGCGUAGUUCGUUUGUGGGUCAAAAUUAACUCUUUUAUAAGGUUUGCUUGCUUGCUUUAUAUAUCAGUCACAGGGUGCAACAUGGACUUUAGAUAUAAAUGAUACCGAUAUUUUGGUUUUUGUAAUAUGACAGGUGAAAAACGAGAGACGUGGAAUAGAGAUUGUGAUGCCUCAAAUGCAAACUGGGGUUCCGAAUUGGUUUGACUACAGCUGCAAAGGAGGAAAUCCGCGUUUUUGGGCUCGUAAGAAGUUUCCUGUCGUUGCUUUAGCAUUGGUGUUCCAGGGGAUAACUGGGAUGACCAGACAAUCUCGGCAUCUACUUGUUGAGCUUCACUUGGUUAUAAAUGGUCUAUGUGUCUUUCGGAAAGGCUAUUACAAUUUCAGAAUUGAACAAAAUCAUGUGUUAGUUUGUGAUUUGCGACUCUUGUUCAGUGACGAGGAAUGGCUGGGCUUUGAUGCAUUGCUUGAGCAUGAGUGGAAUCAAGUGCAGAUUUCAUAUGAAGCGCAGUCCACUGUGACACUAAGUGAUUGGGGAGUAUUUGUGUACAAACAAGGAACCUACAUGGAAGAAUAUGUCCAGUUCAUGUGUCCCGACCCAAAGUACUCACAAGUAGCUGACAUAUCACCCACAGACAGUAGUUCCUCCAAAAGAUCAUAAGCUAGAACAAAUGAAGUUGAUAGAUGAGUUAGCUCUAGAUGAAAUGUUAGCUGGAGUGUUGUCAGAAGCUAGGGACAUGGAAGAUCGCUUUUCAAAAGAUCAUUUGCAAGACCUGCUGGCAAUCGUGAGUGGCAUAAAUAAGGAGGCUCAAGAUGCAUUAGAAGGUAAACCACUAGAUGAUAAAAAUUCCACCCUGGCAUGUAUUCUCCGGUAUCUCAAUGAAUCGCGUGAUGAUAAAGAUGAGCCAACAAGUUUUGACCGUGCAGAGGAAAUAAACGCUGCCAUAGGUGUAGGAGAAGCUUCAACCUCUGGCCAUCAGGGAAGUUCAGAGGCCCAAGACAGCCAUGCUAAGCAGGAUGAAAUAAUGACAAAGAAGGGCCAUACUAAAAGCAAAGUUGAGCUUUCCCACUCAGAAAGAAUGGGAAAUACUAAAUACUGUGUUAAGGAAGGAGGGCCAUAACGUGAUGUUUCAAAGAAUAGAUUGGACUGAAAUAGUGGUUCCAAGCUCUGAAGAUCCUUUGCUGGAAUCAUUCAUGAUGAUGAAGAAAGGAGGUUGUGACUCGGGGAGGGCCAAGAAUAACUCUUCUGCAAGCUGUUGGAGGAACACAAUGCUCUGCACAAGAAAAUUGAAGAAAUUGAAAAGGAAUCUGCUACUACGGAUAAUUCAAAGAAGCGUCACAGCCUUGAUGAGAAGCUGGCUGCUGUUUUGAAAGGAAGAGCUGGAGAAUUGGAGAGGCUCUAUGAUGAUGGAAAUGAAGAAUUCCAGAACUCAAGAGAUACAUGCUUAAUGACAGAUACAUACUUAAAUGGAAUGAGGGAUGGACUCCUUGAAUCACGGGCCAUAUUACUCACUCUGGAAAUGGACAUAAUAACUCGUGUUUGAGGGGAAUAAAAAUGAAAUUUCUACUCAGGAUAAAGAUAGUCAUCUUCUUCCUUUGAAAAAUCAAUAUGGCGAUUUUAUGGAAAAGCUUAACACUCAAUUUACUGAUCCUAAUUCAAAGAAGCAUCAUGCCCUUGAUGGUAAUGAUGAUUCACAAGCAAAGGAAUCAAGCAUUUCUGACUCAAAAUCUUCUUUGAAUAGAACGAAGAUUAGCGCAGACAUUGGAAAAGAAGGCUGCAAAGAGGUUACAAAGCAUAAGAAGCUGGAUGCUGUCUUGAAAGAAAAAGAAGAAGAAUUGUUGAGCCUCUAUGAUGCUGAAAUUGAAGAAUUCCAGAACUCGGAAGAGAUUCAAGAUCUAUUGAGUGCGACAUACUUUAGUGGACUGAGGGAUGGAGUCCUUGAAUGAGGAACACAUUACUCAUGAGGAUUCCAAUGAUGCUUCUGUUAUUGAAAAUCACAAUGAAGCAAUUAGCAUAGCGGGAAUUGUAAGUCCUUCUGGUUUAGAAGCAGACAACCUGCGGGACACUCGUUACCCCUUUGGUUGCUUCUGGAGGAUUUUGUACACUUGUUUUUGUAAGUGUUUCUCUUAGUUGUAUCAAUUUUAAAAAAAAAGAAUAAAUGAUGCACUUAGAUUGCACUUAAUACUAUAAGCGUUUUUCACAAUAAUCAUGCAUAUGACCUUUUUGUUUUCUAUUUUCAUUAUUAGUGUUUGUUUAGAUAAUGAAUAGGCAAUGCAAUUGUGGUUUGUGGGAAGCAACAAGCUUUAUCAUACUCCUAUUUUCAAAGUCGUUUAAUCUGUAUGAAAAUGCUUUAUCAUUCUCCUUGAAGUUUUGUUUUCUUUACUUUUUAUAUAAAUAGAACUCUUUAGUGCUUUCACUAGUGUUAUAAAGUUUAAGAAUGUUUUAGAAAUUGAUUUUAUUGGUUUAUCAAUGGCAAGGUUUAUGUGACUGGAUGAAACAUGUCAGUAGUUCUAUAGUUUGCAGGUUCUUUCUCAAGCAAUGCUCCAUACAUCAUAUCAAUAGUUCUAUUGGUUUACUGGUAAUUCAAACUACAUCUNNNNNNNNNNNNNNNNNNNNNNNNNNNNNNNNNNNNNNNNNNNNNNNNNNNNNNNNNNNNNNNNNUUACCAAUUUACAUGUUAUUAGAGCUAGUUGGUCAUGGAGUGUCUAUUGUACCUGGAAACUCUGUUUUUGAAGGGAGUGUGCAUUAGUGGUCACUGGUCCGGAACAUAUUUACUUGGGAAGCUUUUCAAACAGUCCGGUGUAUCAGGUGAUGUUUCUGCUACUUCCUUGUAAAUCUGAAUUAGGACUUGUUUGUAUUGCCUUAUUUGAACCCAUUUGAUUAAUGUGGGCCAAAUAAUUGAAAACACUGUUGACAAUUAAUAAGCACGGUCGACUAAUGAUGCGUCGACAAUGAUAAGAGCACACCAUACACUCGUAUCAGAUUCAUGUUGAAAUAAUUGAAAACAAGGCCGAUGGUCAAUAAGCAAUUAAGCUUUGUCAAUGCAUGAUGUGUUGACAAUGUUUAUUCACUGUAAGAUAUGAAAACUUUUCACACUCAAUAAAUAGGAUUUCGCUGUUCAAAAAACUUUUUGUCCGAUUUGUGGGUAGAGUACUAUUUGUACUUUCUUCCACUUAAUAAAUUUUGUUUUUCUGUUCAAAAAAUAAAAAGUUUAACAUGUUCUAUUCCUAUGAUUGCUUUUGCAACCAAUCUACUAUCGUUUCCAAGAAUAUGAACGAAAAACUUCACAAGAUUCUCUCAAGAACCUAAAUCAGGGGGACUCAAUAAAGGCUUGGGAAUUGUGAUCCUCUCUAUUUGAAGAGAGAAAAGACACGGGUUCUACCAAACUCAUUUUUGUGUUUACUUCUCUCAGAAGUGGAGUUAUUUAUUAUUUUAUUUUUUGAAGAAAAUGAGAGGAUUUUGAUCUUGGUAGUUGAAAGUAGGGGUGUAUAAAAUUUGGUUCGUUAGUGAGUUUGGCUUAGCCUACAAGUAACGGAUCUGAUCAGACCCUGAUGAGACCCUAAUUCGAAAAAAUGGGGCAAACACUAACCACGGGAUUGAUUUGAUUCGGUGGAAGGUGGAUCGAGAUUGAAACACUAUCCACCAUCCACCCGAGUCUCCUCUCAUUAGUUUCUGAAGACUCGGAGUUUUUAUCUUGGGAAGAAUAUUGAUGCACCUUUGUUGAAAAUUUGAAUACGUACAACAGACCGAACAACUUUGUGUUUUAAAUUAGCUAGUUGAAUUUAUUUUAUUUUAUUUUAAAGCUAAAAAUAUUAUUUCUUUUAGGCCCACCCAAGAAACUUCAUACUUGCUUCGCUGAUGAUAAGAUAUAUAUAGUUGAUAGAUUGUGCAAAAAAUACUAGUUUCGCUUAGAAAUUUAUAAGGUAAAGGUGUUUUCUAUUCGCUUUGUUGGUUUUGAGAGUUUUGCAAUUAAAACAAGAACAAUAAAAUAAAUGACAGAUAAAUAAAUAUCAAUUAAAAUAAAAAGGGUGUGCGAGUAGAUGCAUGAAGUGGUUAAUUGUUUCGAAUCCCUCUCUUAUUCCUAGCUGGUAGCUGGCGUUAUAUUUUACCUCACUAUUUGUUAUGAUCUAACGGAUUAAUUUCUAUUAAAACAAGUUCAGGUUUACCAUUCCUUAUUUCUAUUGUAAUUUGAAUAAAGUUUAAUCAACCGCUGAUUGAUUUCCCUCUUGUUUUUAUAGUAUCUUUAUCCUUGAGUUCAACGUUUAACAAGUUCUCUUGUUUUUAUAGUAUCUUUACCCCUAAGUUCAACGUUUAACAAGUCAUCAUGUGUUCUCCUACCUUUGUUUGAUUAACCCUAAACAUGCAGAAUUUAACUAAGUGUAAAUCUUAAUACUACCCCCUUCCUCAAGUACUGAAUUUUAUGGUCUCAUGUUGGUCGGUUGAAUGGUCUUUAGGUUCGGGCCUAUUAGUCUGUUGUCACGGGAUCAACUAAUUUCUAUGAGAUCAUUCUAUAAUUUGAUCAUGAUUAAGAACAGAGAAUUAAAGUAAGACAAUUAUAGAAAAUAACUAAAUAUCAAUCGAAUAUAAACUUGUUUGAACCAAAUUAUAUGUCUCAUGCAUUCAUAAGGGAGUUCAUCUACUCGACCUAACCUAGGAAAAUAAUAUUACAAAAACAAUAAAAGAAAAGAACCUUAUUGCCUCUGAGUUCCUUAGCCCUCCUUGUCUCCUCCUUAGAGUUCUUCUAACUCUACUUGAAUAUUGGAAUAACUCUCAAUAUUUCUGAAUGAAUAAUUAUGAAGGAGGAGAACUCUAUUUAUAGUUUUUCAGUUGGAUUUGGGCUUUUUGUUGUGCUGCAUCGUAUCCAUCAUAGCCACGAUGAAUCUUAUCGUGGUACGAUGAAGAUUUGCGCUUCAGAUUUUCUUGAUUUGUUUAACCGCCUUCAUCGUGCUGCGAUGAGUCUCAUCGUGGUUACGAUGGUGCGCAUUUUAUUCGAUUUUUGCCAUUCUUUUUAUGCUUUUUCCACUUUUUUUUCUUCUUGGUCAAAUAACUUCAUUACUCUAGGUAUUUGCAUGCUUUUGGUCUUCAAUUGCUACUAACACUGCUAAAAACUACUCUAAAAUAGUACUAAAAACAUCAUAUAAUUGACUAUCAUCAUGUGGCAGAAGUAAAACUCUUUAAUAUGUGUCCAUCAAUCAGUUUUAUUUUCUUUUGGUUGUGGACUUUUAAUGAAUGAAGAGGUUAUAGAUUACUUUUUGGUUUUCCAACUAUAAUUCAUUUUUAUAUACUAAGAAUACUUUACUUUUGGUUGUGGACUUUUCAUGAAUGAAUUAGGAAUUUAGGACCGGUUUUUGAAUUGCCUUAUUUGAACUCAUUUGAUUAAUGAGGGCAAAAUAAUUGAAAACACCGCUGACAGUGAAUAAGCAUGGUCGACAAAUGAUGUGGCGACAACGAUAAGAACACACCAUAUACACAUAUGUAUCAGAUUCAUGUUGAAAUAAUUGAAAACAAUGCCGAUGGUGAAUAAGCAUGGAUUGGCAGAUAUGAAAACUUUUUGCAACUUUUAUAAACAAAUUUAUUUUUUAUUUUUUUUUUCAAAUCCAUUGACAUUAUCCUUUCAAUUAUUUAGCCCUCAUUAAUCACUAAUUUUAUAGGGUCUAGGUUAAGAAGUUCCACAUCGGUUGAGAGAUGGCCCGACUAAGUGUUUAUAAAUCAGAGGCAAUUCUUACCUUACAAGCCGGUUUUAUAGAGUUGAGUUAGGCUCAAUACUCAAUUUUAAGAGUCUACAUGAUUUAAUCUGUUUAUUUUAGUCAUUUAUCAUCAUCAGUCAUCUUCAUUGAAUUUAUAGUCUUCAAUUUCAUAUAGAUAAAAUUUUACACUUGAUCCCUAAUUCUUUCCUUCUUCUCUUCUCUCAGCCGCCACACCAUUUCAUAUUUCUUCUUCUUUUGGCUUAUCAAUUAGAGAAGGUGAUUUAGGAUCAAUCCAAAUUCAGUGUAGAUUCAAUGAUUUUAUCGUCGUCAACAUUACAGAUCCGGAUGCAUUAUUCCAGACAUUUGAAUUUUAUCAUAUCAAUUGUAGGCUUUGUCAAAAAUAUUAGGCUGUUUUAUACUAUUAACUCGAAUAUUGUGAGUCUGUUCAUACAUUUAUCCUUAUUAGUUUUUAGCGAAAUUUAAUAUGAAUGAAUCAAUGAACAUUGUUGUUUUUGUUUUUGAAUAUAUAAAAUAAAAUAAAAUUUCAUAUAGAUAAGGUGGGUAGCCAAGUUGACUCCGAAUGGAAUCUCCCAGUCCCAAGAAACUUCAUACUUGUUUCGUUGAUGCUGUGUGUUCUUAAGUCUUAACUACUUGCAGUAUAAUUGCAGUGGCAUGCGUACACACACAUCCUCCUGUUAAACAUUUGUCGUCUUGUCUUCAGUAGUAUUCUAUUUUCUCCGUCUCAUGACACGGUUAACUAUAUUUCAUUAUUCACACAUAUUAUUUUGACCAUAUUUUUCUACUAAUAAAUAAAAAUAAAUAUUAGCAUAUAAGAUGUUGUUGGAUUCGUCUCGAUGAAUAUUUUCAAAAUAUCAAAUUUUUAUAAUUUUUACUAUAAUAUAAUUAAAAAUAUUAAUCGUCAAAAUUAUGCAUCGGCAUGCGUGAAACAGUCAACUGUGUCACUCAAUUUGGGACGGAGGAAAUAUAAUAACACCGGCAUCCUCAAAAGUGUGGUUGAAACCUUUGUAAAUGUAGAGUUUUAAACAUUUCACUAAAUCUUAUUUAUUUAUAAUAUAAUAUAAUGAAGGGUGUGAAAUAUUUUAUUAAAUCUCAAAAAAAGAAAAAUCAAAUUUAAUAAAUUUAAAAUUGAAUGAUAAUUGAAGAUUUUGAUUUUAGAGGUUAGAAGAAGAUUGAAACAAACAAAACACAUAAAUUUAUAUAAUUUUGAAUAAUAUUUGACCGUACUUUGUUAUAAAUUAGUGAAGAUGAUGAUGAACACGAUGAAGAUAAGUAUGAAUAAGAUAAAUGUUCAUCAUUAUUUAUGGUUUUAUGAAUUGUUAUAAACCUCCACAUGUAUUCAUGUUUUCUAACCCUUCAUUAAUAUGCUACAAAUAAAUAAAAUAAAGUAUUAACUCGUGCGGUUUUAUAAAAAUAAAGGAUUUGGAAAAAAAANNNNNNNNNNNNNNNNNNAAAAAAAAAAAAAAAAAAAGAUGGCCAUACUUGGGAAAAAACAAAGAUAAAUUCAUUGAAAAACUGAUAUGUUUAGUCUAAACUCAUUGACGAAGUUUGUAAUUUCAAGGAGUAUUUGACAUUUAAGUUGUAGUAGGGGUAUUUUUGUAAUUUCAAGAGGCGCACAAGAAAACUUAGGAGGCGGCAAAAGAAAUUUUCUUAUUUUUCUACAAGUUUCAAUUGGGUUCAUCGGCAUGUGUUGGAUCACGAGGGGUACCCGGACCGGGAGAUCAUCCAUAUGACAGUUUAAUUAUGGGUCAUAAAACCAUCGACUCAUUGGACUCAACAAUUAUAUAAGCGAAUUGGACACCACACUGUUAUCCAAAACUUUAAUUAAGGCAUUAAGUUUAUGAUUUUUCUCAUUUAUAAAAUGUUCAACCUUCACUUUUCUGAAUAAUAUUUAACUCACUUCACACUCGCCACAACAUCAUAUUCACAUAAUUGAAAACUAUUCAUUUUUUUUUUACAGUAUUAUAAAUUGCAUUUUCCUCAAUCCUACAGCUCAUAUAGAUAAGGUGGGUAGCCAAGUUGCCACCAAUAGUCGAUAGAAACCUCCCAAGAAACUUCAUACUUGCUUCGUUGAUGCAUGCUGUGUGUUCAAAACUACUUGCAGUAUAUAAUUGCAGUGUGCAUAGUACACACACACACACAUCCUCCUGUUAACAUUACUACUGUCUUGUCUUCAGUGUUCUGUUAUAUUAACAUCCUCACAAGUGUGGUUGAUCGGUUCACUAUAAAUAUCUAUAUAUAAAUAUCUAUAUAUGGCAAAUUAUGAAGAACCCUCGGAUCGUUUCACCUAUGAUGUUUUCCUCAGUUUUAGAGGGGAAGACACACGGUACAGUUUUAUGGGAUAUCUUCUUGAUGCAUUUCAGAAGAGGGGAAUCAAAGUUUUCUAUGAUGAUACAAGUCUGAAAAUAGGGGAAGAAUUGUCACCUGCAUUUUAUAAAGCCAUAGAAGAAUCUAAUAUCUCAGUUAUUGUUUUUUCUGAGGAUUAUGCAUCUUCUAAGUGGUGCCUUAAUGAACUCGCGAAGAUCAUGGAAUGUACGAAAACAAACAAGAAACAAAUUGCUUUUCCAAUCUUUUACCAUGUUGAUCCAGCGGAUGUAAGACAUCAAAGAAACAGCUAUGAAGAAGCCAUGAUUGCUCAUGAGAAGAGGUUUGGAAAAGACUCCGAGAAAAUAAAAGCAUGGACUGCAGCAUUGUCUAAAGUGGCAGACUUGAAAGGUCACCACAUCCACACUGGGUAUGUAUGCAAAUGCAACUACAAUUCUGUUAUUAUAUAAUCUGUGUUUUCUAAAGUACAUAAGUAUAGAACAUAAAAGUGAAUUUAUUGUCUUUACAACUAUAGAUGUUUUGCUCUCAUUCCAUUACAGAACACCAUAUGUCUAUUAAAGCUAGAAUUGCUGAUAAAAUUAAAAUCCCGACUUCAAUAGAUAUUGUAUUUUUAACAAAACAUUGGUCAACCAAAUUCCUACAAGUUGUGAGCUAUAUAUGUUGAACAACUUUGCAAAUACUAAACAAAAAGAUGAGUAAGAAUCACCAAUUCCUUGGCAACCUAGAUGCUUCAAUUUUUUUAAGGUUUUAGCAUCUCAUCCGCACAGCAGACCAAAUUUUCCAAUCAUCUCAAUUCCUUAUAUUAACAUCUUCACACUAGUACAGAAAAGCCUUCUUAGGUCGGUUUCGAACUCGUCUUAACUUUUCCCGACAUAACAAAUUUUGAUUUGAUAAGUCUGGUUUGGACCUGACUUGACAAACUACAUAUUAAGUCGGUUAAUAUUCACCCGUCUUAAGAAGGCCAGGUUUUAGAAAGCACUGGUGGCACCUGCAACCGACUUAAGAAGAUUGUUUCUUAAGUCUAUAUUUGAUCGACCUAAGAAGUUUUUUUUUUUUUAUUCCAAUGAUAGAAUUUAAGUUUUUCUACAACGAAAUAAGUCAUGUUAUUAAAAAGUAAAGUGUUGUAUUUUUACAGACACGAAAUCGAUCAUGUUAAAGAGAUUGCCGAAAAGGUCCAUGCUAAUAUAGCUCCUAAACCUUUACUUGUUGGUGAGAAUCCAGUUGGACUUGAUCAACACAUAGAAGAUGCGAAGUCACUUCUAGACUUGAAGCCAAAUGACGGAACUGUAUGCACGUUGGGCAUAAUUGGACUUGGCGGAAUAGGGAAAACUGAACUUGCCAAAGCAUUGUAUAACAAGAUUGUGCACCAAUUUGAAGCUGCAAGUUUUCUUGCCAAUGUUAGAGAGAAAUCGAACAAAAUCAAUGGCCUAGAAGAUUUGCAGAAGACCCUUUUAUCAGAGAUGUUUCAGCAGCCAAAAAGCGAGUUGGGAAGUACAAGUAAAGGAAUCUAUGAAAUAAAACACAAGCUUGAAAAGAAAAAGGUUCUUUUGGUACUUGAUGAUGUUGAUGAGAUGAAACAAAUAGAAAAUUUGGCAGGAGGAAGUGAUUGGUAUGGUCCAGGUAGUAGGAUCAUUAUAACAACAAGGGACAAAGGUUUGCUCAUGGGUACUCAUCAAAUAGAAGUUAAGACUUAUGAAAUGACUGAACUUAAUAAUCAACAUUCUCUUCAGUUGUUUUGUAGAAAUGCCUUUGGAAAAAACAAUCCAAAAACAGGAUAUGAAGCUAUGUCUUAUCGCGCGAUUGGUUAUGCGAAAGGUCUUCCAUUGGCUUUAAAAGUUAUAGGCUGCAAUUUGGCUACUAGAAAAAGUUUAAAAGCUUGGGAGGAUGCAUUGAAAGAUUAUGAGAGGAUUCCCCGUAAAGGGAUUCAAGAUGUGCUUAAAGUAAGCUAUGAUGUGUUGGAGCCUUCUGCACAAAGUGUUUUCCUCGAUAUAGCUUGCUUCUUCAAAGGGGAAAACAUAGAAUAUGUUGAAGAAGUACUUGUUGAAUUCAGUGCAACAUCAAAUAUUGAAGAGCUUGUUAAUAAAUCUCUCUUGAAUGUUGAUGAUGGAUACUUGAAUAUGCAUGACCUAAUACAAGAUAUGGGUAGAGAGAUUGUCAGGCAAGAGGCACCAAAUAAUCCUGCAAAACGUAGUAGAUUAUGGUUUCAACAAGAUAUCAUUGAUGUAUUAUCGGCCAACGAUUCAGUAAGAAUCAAAUCAUCCGUACUUUGAUGAUAUGUUAUAUAUAUAAAAC
rnacentral:lncRNA from 1 species